UACGUAGGGGGCUAGCGUUGUCCGGAUUUAUUGGGCGUAAAGAGCGUGUAGGCGGCCUGGUAGGUCAGCUGUGAAAACUCGAGGCUCAACCUCGAGACGUCGGUUGAAACCACCUGGCUAGAGUCCGGAAGAGGAGAGUGGAAUUCCCGGUGUAGCGGUGAAAUGCGCAGAUAUCGGGAAGAACACCCGUGGCGAAGGCGGCUCUCUGGGACGGUACUGACGCUGAGACGCGAAAGCGUGGGUAGCAAACAGG
rnacentral:rRNA from 1 species